rnacentral:rRNA from 1 species
GACGAACGCUGGCGGCGUGCCUAAUACAUGCAAGUAGAACGCUGAGGGAGGAGCUUGCUCUUCUGGAUGAGUUGCGAACGGGUGAGUAACGCGUAGGUAACCUGCCUGGUAGCGGGGGAUAACUAUUGGAAACGAUAGCUAAUACCGCAUAACAGUAGAUGUUGCAUGACAUUUACUUAAAAGGUGCAAUUGCAUCACUACCAGAUGGACCUGCGUUGUAUUAGCUAGUUGGUGGGGUAACGGCUCACCAAGGCGACGAUACACAGCCGACCUGAGAGGGUGAUCGGCCACACUGGGACUGAGACACGGCCCAGACUCCUACGGGAGGCAGCAGUAGGGAAUCUUCGGCAAUGGACGGAAGUCUGACCGAGCAACGCCGCGUGAGUGAAGAAGGUUUUCGGAUCGUAAAGCUCUGUUGUAAGAGAAGAACGAGUGUGAGAGUGGAAAGUUCACACUGUGACGGUAUCUUACCAGAAAGGGACGGCUAACUACGUG